rnacentral:rRNA from 1 species
GGUUAAGCGACUAAGCGUACACGGUGGAUGCCCCCGGCAGUCAGAGGCGAUGAAGGACGUGCUAAUCUGCGAAAAGCGUCGGUAAGGUGAUAUGAACCGUUAUAACCGGCGAUGUCCGAAUGGGGAAACCCAGUGCAAUUCGUUGCACUAUCGUUAACUGAAUACAUAGGUUAACGAGGCGAACCGGGGGAACUGAAACAUCUAAGUACCCCGAGGAAAAGAAAUCAACCGAGAUUCCCCCAGUAGCGGCGAGCGAACGGGGAGCAGCCCAGAGUCUGAAUCAGCUUGUGUGUUAGUGGAACGGUCUGGAAAGUCCGACGGUACAGGGUGAUAGUCCCGUACACCAAAAUGCACAGGCUGUGAACUCGAAGAGUAGGGCGGGACACGUGGUAUCCUGUCUGAAUAUGGGGGGACCAUCCUCCAAGGCUAAAUACUCCUGACUGACCGAUAGUGAACCAGUACCGUGAGGGAAAGGCGAAAAGAACCCCGGCGAGGGGAGUGAAAAAGAACCUGAAACCGUGUACGUACAAGCAGUGGGAGCACCUUCGGGUGUGACUGCGUACCUUUGUAUAAUGGGUCAGCGACUUAUAUUCUGUAGCAAGGUUAACCGUAUAGGGGAGCCGCAGGGAAACCGAGUCUUAACUGGGCGUUAAGUUGCAGGGUAUAGACCCGAAACCCGGUGAUCUAGCCAUGGGCAGGUUGAAGGUUGGGUAACACUAACUGGAGGACCGAACCGACUAAUGUUGAAAAAUUAGCGGAUGACUUGUGGCUGGGGGUGAAAGGCCAAUCAAACCGGGAGAUAGCUGGUUCUCCCCGAAAGCUAUUUAGGUAGCGCCUCGUGAACUCAUCUUCGGGGGUAGAGCACUGUUUCGGCUAGGGGGUCAUCCCGACUUACCAACCCGAUGCAAACUACGAAUACCGAAGAAUGUUAUCACGGGAGACACACGGCGGGUGCUAACGUCCGUCGUGAAGAGGGAAACAACCCAGACCGCCAGCUAAGGUCCCAAAGUCAUGGUUAAGUGGGAAACGAUGUGGGAAGGCACAGACAGCCGGGAUGUUGGCUUAGAAGCAGCCAUCAUUUAAAGAAAGCGUAAUAGCUCACUGGUCGAGUCGGCCUGCGCGGAAGAUGUAACGGGGCUAAACCAUGCACCGAAGCUGCGGCAGCGACACUAUGUGUUGUUGGGUAGGGGAGCGUUCUGUAAGCCUGCGAAGGUGUGCUGUGAGGCAUGCUGGAGGUAUCAGAAGUGCGAAUGCUGACAUAAGUAACGAUAAAGCGGGUGAAAAGCCCGCUCGCCGGAAGACCAAGGGUUCCUGUCCAACGUUAAUCGGGGCAGGGUGAGUCGACCCCUAAGGCGAGGCCGAAAGGCGUAGUCGAUGGGAAACAGGUUAAUAUUCCUGUACUUGGUGUUACUGCGAAGGGGGGGACGGAGAAGGCUAUGUUAGCCGGGCGACGGUUGUCCCGGUUUAAGCAUGUAGGCUGAUUGUCCGAGGCAAAUCCGGAUAAUCAAGGCUGAGGUGUGAUGACGAGGCACUACGGUGCUGAAGUAACAAAUGCCCUGCUUCCGAGGAAAAGCCUCUAAGCAUCAGGUAACAUUAAAUCGUACCCCAAACCGACACAGGUGGUCAGGUAGAGAAUACCAAGGCGCUUGAGAGAACUCGGGUGAAGGAACUAGGCAAAAUGGUGCCGUAACUUCGGGAGAAGGCACGCUGGUGUGUAGGUGAAGUCCCUGCGGAUGGAGCUGAGACCAGUCGAAGAUACCAGCUGGCUGCAACUGUUUAUUAAAAACACAGCACUGUGCAAACACGAAAGUGGACGUAUACGGUGUGACGCCUGCCCGGUGCCGGAAGGUUAAUUGAUGGGGUUAUCCGUAAGGAGAAGCUCUUGAUCGAAGCCCCGGUAAACGGCGGCCGUAACUAUAACGGUCCUAAGGUAGCGAAAUUCCUUGUCGGGUAAGUUCCGACCUGCACGAAUGGCGUAAUGAUGGCCGGGCUGUCUCCACCCGAGACUCAGUGAAAUUGAACUCGCUGUGAAGAUGCAGUGUACCCGCGGCAAGACGGAAAGACCCCGUGAACCUUUACUAUAGCUUGACACUGAACAUUGAGCCUUGAUGUGUAGGAUAGGUGGGAGGCUUUGAAGCGUGGACGCCAGUCUGCGUGGAGCCAACCUUGAAAUACCACCCUUUAAUGUUUGAUGUUCUAACGUUGGCCCCUGACCGGGGUUGCGGACAGUGUCUGGUGGGUAGUUUGACUGGGGCGGUCUCCUCCCAAAGCGUAACGGAGGAGCACGAAGGUUAGCUAAUCCCCGGUCGGACAUCAGGAGGUUAGUGCAAUGGCAUAAGCUAGCUUGACUGCGAGCGUGACGGCGCGAGCAGGUGCGAAAAGCAGGUCAUAGUGAUCCGGUGGUUCUGAAUGGAAGGGCCAUCGCUCAACGGAUAAAAGGUACUCCGGGGAUAACAGGCUGAUACCGCCCAAGAGUUCAUAUCGACGGCGGUGUUUGGCACCUCGAUGUCGGCUCAUCACAUCCUCGGGGCUGAAGUAGGUCCCAAGGGUAUGGCUGUUCGCCAUUUAAAGUGGUACGCGAGCUGGGUUUAGAACGUCGUGAGACAGUUCGGUCCCUAUCUGCCGUGGGCGCUGGAGAAUUGAGGGGGGCUGCUCCUAGUACGAGAGGACCGGAGUGGACGCAUCACUGGUGUUCGGGUUGUCAUGCCAAUGGCACUGCCCGGUAGCUAAAUGCGGAAGAGAUAAGUGCUGAAAGCAUCUAAGCACGAAACUUGCCCCGAGAUGAGUUCUCCCUGAGACUUUAAGUCUCCUGAAGGAACGUUAAAGACGAUGACGUUGAUAGGCCGGGUGUGUAAGCGCAGCGAUGCGUUGAGCUAACCGGUACUAAUGAACCGUGAGGCUUAACCUU